rnacentral:SRP_RNA from 1 species
GCUGGGCGUGGUGGCGUGCACCUGUAAUCCCAGCUACUCAGGAGGCUGAGUCAGGAGAAUCACUUGAACCCGGGAGUUGGAGGUUGCAGUGAGCCGAGAUCAUGUCACUGCACUCCAGCCUGGGUGACAGAGUGAGACUCUGUCUCAA